rnacentral:rRNA from 1 species
UACGGAGGGGGCUAGCGUUGUUCGGAAUUACUGGGCGUAAAGCGCGCGUAGGCGGACCUGCAAGUCGGGGGUGAAAGCCCGAGGCUCAACCUCGGAACUGCCUUCGAUACUGCGGGUCUCGAGUCCGGGAGAGGUGAGUGGAAUUCCUAGUGUAGAGGUGAAAUUCGUAGAUAUUAGGAAGAACACCAGUGGCGGAAAGGC